rnacentral:rRNA from 1 species
AACGUGCCCUGGAGUGGGGGAUAACGCAGCGAAAGUUGCGCUAAUACCGCAUACGAUCUAAGGAUGAAAGCGGGGGAUUCGCAAGAACCUCGUGCUCCUGGAGCGGCCGAUAUCUGAUUAGCUAGUUGGGGGGGUAAAGGCCUACCAAGGCAUCGAUCAGUAGCUGGUCUGAGAGGACGACCAGCCACACUGGAACUGAGACACGGUCCAGACUCCUACGGGAGGCAGCAGUGGGGAAUUUUGGACAAUGGGCGAAAGCCUGAUCCAGCAAUGCCGCGUGAGUGAAGAAGGCCUUCGGGUUGUAAAGCUCUUUUGUCAGGGAAGAAACGGUGCGGGCUAAUAUCCUGCACUAAUGACGGUACCUGAAGAAUAAGCACCGGCUAACUACGUGCCAGCAGCCGCGGUAAUACAUAGGGUGCAAGCGUUAAUCGGAAUUACUGGGCGUAAAGCGUGCGCAGGCGGUUUUGUAAGUUUGUCGUGAAAGCCCCGGGCUCAACCUGGGAAUUGCGAUGAAGACUGCAAGGCUUGAAUCUGGCAGAGGGGGGUAGAAUUCCACGUGUAGCAGUGAAAUGCGUAGAGAUGUGGAGGAAC